CAGCGCCUAACACAUGCAAGUCGAACGAAGUGCCUUCGGGUGCAUAGUGGCGCACGGGUGCGUAACGCGUGGGAAUCUGCCCCUUGGUUCGGAAUAACAGCGAGAAAUUGCUGCUAAUACCGGAUGACGACGUAAGUCCAAAGAUUUAUCGCCUAGGGAUGAGCCCGCGUAGGAUUAGCUAGUUGGUGGGGUAAAGGCCUACCAAGGCGACGAUCCUUAGCUGGUCUGAGAGGAUGAUCAGCCACACUGGGACUGAGACACGGCCCAGACUCCUACGGGAGGCAGCAGUGGGGAAUAUUGGACAAUGGGCGAAAGCCUGAUCCAGCAAUGCCGCGUGAGUGAUGAAGGCCUUAGGGUUGUAAAGCUCUUUUACCCGGGAUGAUAAUGACAGUACCGGGAGAAUAAGCUCCGGCUAACUCCGUGCCAGCAGCCGCGGUAAU
rnacentral:rRNA from 1 species